AAUGGACAUGAAUUUGAGCAGCUCGGGGAUACAGUGAAGGACAGAGGAGCCUGGUAUGCUAUAGUCCAUGAGGCUGUGAAGAGUUGGACAUGACUUGGUGACUGAACAACAACAACAUUACCUGGUGAAGACAGACAAGCAUGUGGAUUCAGGAUUCUGGGCCUGUGUUUCCUCUCCCUUCUUCCACUGUCACUCCAUAAACUGCAGAGCUGAUGGAGAGCACCCCAGAAGGCUGCUGCAGAGGAGGGAGCAAUGCUUUUCCCUCCAAAAUCCAAGGCAGUACUUUCCCCUGGUGGAGGGUCCAGGCCUCAACCCCGGCAGCCAGAAUGGCAGCCCAGGGGCCUGAUGUGAAGGAGCAAAACCUUGGGUUUUGUAAAUCUUGCCCCAGGACUGCCUUUCCUUCCAAGAAACUACUUCAGAGGUCACGGUGCUGAACUGCUGGUGAAAUGCUUAGGUCUGCCCAGAGAAGAGAGGGAAGGGAGGCCAGAGAGGGUGUCAGUCCAACAUAGAUGCCCCUGGGAGGCCGGCAGGCUGCUUGGCGCAAACCUGCCUCUCUUGCAGAAAUCUCCCUUGCAUCACUGCGGCCCCCAGGCCUCUCUGUCAUCAAGGUCCUACAGCCAGGGUAGAGUUAAUCACCGCUCAGGGCUGGGUUCCAGUCCAGAAGUCAGCUCUGGCAUCCCGGACCUGCUGUGCCCACCUUGCUGUGUGACCCUCAGUUGGGUGUCUGAGCAGCUCUAGGCUUCAGGUGUCUCUCCCGCCUGUAGGACACGUCCUGUUCUUGUGUGGCCCUGUAUGUGGCAUCACAGCAGAAUCUCAUAACCAAGAAGAAGUCUAAUUUUUCUGUGUCUGACAUGAAGGAGGAUUUAUUUGGCUGCAUGUGAAAGACUCCAGAUAACAGUAACUUGAACACGGCCAAAGUUUCUUUCCUUUUGUUGGCAAAGCCUGAAGGAAGGUCCCUGAGGGCAGUGUGAGGGUUCCAGGCCUGCUCAGCUGUCCAGAGGGUGUGGUUUUGAGCCUCAAGGUCCAAGGUAUGUCUUUCUGUGAGAUGUUUGAUCCAAGGGCCUGCAGUGAGUUCCACUUGGUCACUUCCUGCUGCUGCUGCUGCUAAGUCGCUUCAGUCGUGUCCGACUCUGUGCGACCCCAUAGACGGCAGCCCACCAGGCUCCCCCGUCCCUGGGAUUCUCCAAGCAAGAACACUGGAGUGGGUUGCCAUUUCCUUCUCCAGUGCAUGAAAGUGAAAAGUGAAAGUGAAGUCGCUCAGUCCUGUUCCUGAAGACUCCUAAUUUGCAGGUGGGUGCGGGGCAGGGAGGGGCUGGUCUCAGCCUUCAGCCCCCUUUCACAGACUGGGGACUCAACUACAUAACUCUAGCUAGUGAGUGACAGAGUGGAGUCUUGAGCUCAGAAGUGACUCCCUCUCCACCCCCCAAAAUAAAAACCCUUGCUUCCCCUUCACUGCCAGGGGGCUCCUGCUUCUCUAAGGAGGGGGAGAGACACUGGGGACAGCCAGCUAAUUCUUUAGCCACCUCAGCACUUUGUAGAGCAUCCUGUUUUUGUGUUGGGGUGUGUUGGGGAGGAUGGGUGACCUAACUUCAGGUCAGCUAGGCAGCCACACCCCCUCAAAGUCACUUCCUUGAUUCCUGGAAUCCCCGCUGCCGAGGUUUCUAGCUCCUGGAAGCAUGCAGUGCACCCCUCUCCAAUCUGAGGAUACACACAGUGUGCCCUUGACCCAUGACAUACACCGACCACAGCGGCAACCCAGAGAAAGUGACCGCUUCCCUUCCCCACCUGCCUGGAGGGAGGAGGGCAGUUUCUUCCAUCUCUAGGGACUCUGUGCAUCUUGUGCCUUCUAGCCAAGUCAUUGCCAUCACUGUCCAUGGACAAAUCAAAAUCGUCAGCUCUGAAAAACCCCAGUUCAAGAAACAGCCUUCCUCACUCAACUCGGGCCUGUCAGCUCUACCUGGUAACGUGAAGAUUCUCAGUUCUUCUCAGCCUGGGCUUAGCAGUCAGCCCAGCCCAGAAACAGGAUAGGAGCCAGCCCCACCUGUCGCUGUUGUUUAGUCCCUAAGUCAUGUCCGACUCUUUUGCAACUCCAUGGACCGUAGCCCACCAGGCUCCUCUGCCCAUGGACUUCCCUGGCGAGAAUACUGGAGUGGGUUGCCAUUUCCUCCUUCAGAGGAUCUUCCCAACCCAGGGAUCGAACCUGUGUCUCCGGCAUUGGCAGGCAGAUUCUUUACCUCUGAGCCACCAAGGACGCCCAGCCCCACACUGCUCACCUUUUAUCUGCAAGUGGCUUUCACAGUAUAGGACAUUUUGUUUUUAUCAACCUACCCUCUGUUACUCAGGGGCAUAUAUUUAGCUCUUGCUUUUCUCACGUUUUGGGAAGUGCUGAUUUUGUGCUUUUCAUAGUGAAGACAGAGGCCAGAAGCAUCUUGAUUUUGUUUUUGCAUCUUGUAUGUUUGAUUCAGCAGUUGGAAAGCUGUUGUAUGUAAGGAUGUUUCUGAGCUUGGAAAAGGCUGGGAACAAGGCUCUGGCAGAGCCCUGGAUGAUGGGGGCAGGGUAAGAGUAGAGUCUGUGUUGUCCCUUUAAGUCAUAGGAUCGCAAGCUCCCUGAAGGGCAGUGACUAUGUCCUCUUGCUUCUGAGUCCCCAGCACCUGUAUGAGGUCUGCCCUGGAAAGUGCUUGAUAAAUAGAACUGAGCAAAUAACUGCCUGCAUUUGCAGGCAGAAGCUGAGCUCAAAGGUGGGCCCCAGGCCAGGAAUGACUGUGCCAGUCUUGGGGGAAGCCAGUGUCUUGGGGGUAGGGGAUCCAAGGUGGCAAGAGCCCAAGCAGGAGGGGACCCCCCAACAGCUCUGCUGUAGCCCCUGUAACAGACUUUUGGGGAACUCGCAUGUUGGUACCAUGGCUUUCCAGGCUGGGCCUCGCUGGGCAGGGAGGCUGCAGUUUGUACCAGGUGAGUAGCUGUGCCCAGUGGCAGCCCUGUGUGCUCCAGGGCUGUGGGUGGGGGGCCCUCCUCCUGCAAAGCUCUCUGGGCGGUUUAUUUCUGCAGCAUCAGUUCUGUUCUGAGGGCUGAAAUCCAGUGGCCAGACCUAGAAACAGUCACCAAGAGAAACAAACAGCAGAGGAAGCCUGGGUCAUAGCUGACUCCCUUUUGGGGGGAUGGCUCUGAGGGAGGUGUGUCAGCUCCUGCAAAAUAGUCUUAUGGGGGUGGGUGGAGGCAGGGAGCCGACCAAGGACCCUUGGCAGGGCCGUGCACAGGGAGAGGAGCACAGCUAUUUGUUCUGUGUAAUUAGAUUGAGCUUAUUUCCUUCUGUGGCACAGAGCCGGAGAGUCAGGGUUCUCAAAAAAUGUUAUCUUAUCUUAUUUUGUGUAAUGUCAUCAUGGCACAGCUGGAAUGGGAAGAAAGAACAUUUUUGAGACAUUCCUGGUCCUCUUCACGGAUUGUGUUCUGUUCAUUCGGCAUUUAAGUCAGUCUGAUGCUGAGGUCUCCAGGAGCCCAGGGCAGAUGCAACACUGUAUUUAUGUAAUCAGCCCACAGACAUACAGGAAGGCACUCUUUCUGGAUAAAUCUAAGGCCUGAGUGAGAGAGGCUGAGAGAUCAGACAAGGCAGUCCCCUGGGCCCCAGCAUCUCUGCUCAAGAACCUGCCACAGCUGCUGACCUAGGUUUGUCCCAGAGGGGAAAUGAGAGAAACAGAGAAGUAGACCUGGGGCAGCUGAGUUCCAGUUUGAGUCACUGUCCUGGAGUGACUCUGUGAAAGGGGGCAGCCCUCCGAGGUGGCGCUGAAAAACGUCAGGGAACAAAAGAGGAUGACCAUGCAGUUCUUUUCAAGAUGAGAAGACGAGACACAGGCGGGGGGCUGGGAUCCUGGGCAGGCACUGGCGGCCCUGCCUUCGCCCAUGCACUCUCUCCCCCCCAGAUUUCUGGCUGCUGUCUUCACAGGGUGCCAGCCAUUGCUGGAUGCGGAUGUGUCCUCCAGGGCACUUUGCCUGGGGCGGGCUCCCUAGAAGGACAGCCUGGCUGGAGGGACCAGUGGCUGUGCCUCAGCCCUUCCCGAUGGCUGGAUGCUGUGAUGGCCCCUCAGAGUCUCUGUUCUUGCCCGCCUGCCCUCUGGCUCUUGCAGUGACAUGGGACCCCGGCAGGCUGGGCUCCGAGCACAAUGGCCCCCUGCAGCUCUCCCCCCAGGGGUAGGUCUCUGGGGGUGCUGCAGUUUGCUGUACUAGAAAGAUCAAUGAUGGAUCCAGAUCUUAGGAGUGGACAAGCCACCAGGAAAUACCUCCAGCUUCCUGAGGAGGGGGUCUCCGUGUCUCGGAUGUUGAAGACGACACACGGCAUUUUGUGAUGUGCUGGCGUUUCUCCUCAUGACCACACUGGCCCCUGUGGUCACCACAUGCUUGUGUCACCAGGAAGAUUGCCCGUCCAGCUCCUUCCUUUCCCUCUGCUCCCCAUGUCCCUCUGCCAGGUCAUCAAACCACUGGCCCCUUGGAGUCUGGAUUUCACAGAAAUGUACGUACAUACGGCUCAGGACUGGAAGGGACCUCUGGAAGUAGUUGGUACAUCUGUCGUGCACUAGUUUUCCAUCACUUUCAUGUACAUUUCCUCAUUUCUUUAUAAGGACUGCCAUCCACCAGUAGACAGCACGGACAUGGACACCAAGGUCUGGGGAGCAUCAUGACUUACUGAAGGUCAUGCCGACUCUGAUCCAUGCCCUUCCUGGAGCUGCAAACCCCCAGGCCUCCUCAUUCUCUCCCUCCUCCUUGAACCAGCCCCAGCUCUGGUGCUAAAUGGCCCCAUCAUAGCUCAGUCCAGCCUUGGCCGCCCCUGGACAGGGCUGUGGGGGCAGCAGUACUGCUCGGAGCCUCCUGACUUGAACAGGAGUUUGAGUGGCAGCAGCUGGUUCUCUUGAGCCCUGUCCCGGCUGGUAAGUCUGGAGGCCUUUGUAUAAAUGCCCCACUGUGGGGUCCAGUACAGGAGCAGGUCAAACACAAUCUGGAAUCAUCCUUGGUCAUGGCUCAUCCAUGGCAAGCCUGAAAUGGCUGAGCACACGUGAAGCCCCAGUUGUGGCCCUAAGGGUGGCUUAAUCACCCUCAUGGGGUGAUUUCAUCUCAGAAUCUGCACUCUUUUUGGUCCAUGUGUCUGGUGGCCCAGAUGCCUGGGACUCUGAUUAGCCUUCACACACAGACUCUCCCACAGGCCUCAAGUCAGUGAGGUCUGUGUGCUCUGGACCCCUCCUAGAACAGUUUUCAAUGAGAGGAUGAAAUACCCCAGACCCUACAAGGGAAAAGGCCAUGUUUUGGGACUCCACACCAUGGGUGUUCAUAAAUCCCAGAGGAAAGGAAGAUCCCUCGUCCCUCCAGGCCAGGUCACAGCUGACCAUCUGCUCCUUGUGGUCUGAUAGGUAUUUAGUUCAGCCUCAGCAAGUCUUCUCUGCCGCCCCCUGACCCCUGGGAAGCCAGAUAAAUGGUGACAGGAAGGUGAGAGUCUGAUGUGUUUUUGAAGACCUGUUCUGGGCAGGAGCACACAGAUGAAGGACACUGGUUUGUGAUGAUGCUUCCUGAUGCCACUGGGAGUGAGCCAUCCAGCUGAGGGACAGUGAUUAGGGCCAGAUCCUGGGGGAGCACAGAAGGGGCAGCCAAGUGAGCUGGGGAGAGAAGCAGUUGAGGAGUGAGGAGCUUGUGCCAGGCUGGGAAGGAAGUGGGGUGACAGGUGGGGGUUGCUGUGCUGUCUGGGGCUGCAGAUGGAUGUAGGGGCUGGCAGGGCUGCCGACAAGAGCCUCAGAUGUGGCUUGCAGGGAGUCCGUGAGCACUUUAAAUCAAGUGGUGACAUCCAGUCACCUUGUGAAGCUGCCGACGGGCAGGAUUGUAAGGAGGGUCAGGCUGCAGAUCUCUGGCAGAGCGUUGAAGCCCAACACUCAACUCUAGAUCUCACACAAACAAGAGGAGACUUCCUUGCUCCUCCAGGGAAAGACAUCUUUGCUUAGAGCCAGGAGGCUCAAGUUGGGCUUCUCCCCACACAGGAGAGGUUGGUGUUAUGGAGCCGUUGCUCUGGUCUGCAAAAUUUAGCAACGUCGUAGGAGGCUGAGAUGCUCCUAGGGGGUUAUUGAGACAGGAGACCCUUUCUAAUCUGUGCUGAUAAAAAGAAUCAGCUCAUGUUAAUAGGUGGCAACAGCAGGCUUGGGACUCUGGCCGUCACCAGUGGCCCCUCUGCAGUCUUAAGAAUGGUCUUUGGUACCAGAAGGAUGCUGAGGUUGAGGCUGGGGUUAGUGGGAGGGUCAAGGGUUGCCAGGGUUAAGGGUGUGGCAGAGAUUCCUUUAAGCUCAGUGCACUGGGCCUAUUUGAAGACAUACAAGAACCACCCCCACCCUGGCCGCCCACCCCUGCCCCAAACACAUCUGAGAGGCUCUGACUUAGUUUAAGGCUUUCUCCCUGAUAGAGUAGGUCCCAUUGAGGCCCUGGGUUAAACCCAUUUCACCUGCCUUCACUAAGCAUGGUCAUUUUAAGAACCCAAGGCCGCUAACAUGUUUGCCUGAGUUGUUUUCUGGAAACUUGGACUCAGCUGUGUCUAGUUGGAGCUGAGUUGGUUAAGACUGGAUGGAACCGCCCAUCCUUCAUCUGAGCUAGCGGGAGCACAUGGUCUGCUACUUCUGGCCCAUAGCGGAGUCACGCAUGCGCAGAACAGCCAUCCUCACAGCUUUUCAUCACCUUUCCCCACGCUCCCCGAGCAAACACACUUUGCUGCAAGUUUCGGCAUCUCAGCGUUCAGGAAACAAACCUGGCUGGUGACACUGGAAGUUUUUUCUUCCCUCUCGUGCCUGGAACUUUGCAUCUUGGAAGAGUUGGUGGGAGACUUUCCAAGUGAGGCCCAGCCGAGGACGGCUUGACCCCAGGGCUUCUGCUAGACCUCCCUACACCCUGGUUCAGCCCGAAACCCAGAAGGAGCACAGUGGGGAUGGCAGUGGCUUUGGAGUCAGGAGGCCUGUGUCCCAGCUGAGUGACUGGGGACAAGAGACAUAAAUAUGAAUGGACAGCAGAGCACAGGAGUCCGUGUGCCAGGACGUGGCCUGAACCUGCCUCCUCUUUCAGAGCAGCAGCACGCUGUGAGCUACUAUAAAGCUCUGGACCACGAAAACACCUGAAGGGUUGCUGUAGAUAGCACAGGCAUUGUCACUUGAUUGAAGCUGAUUUUUGAUGAUCAGUGCAAGAUUUUAUGAUUAGAUAUCUAUUAACUUCUUGUUUCUGGACUUAUAUUUUAAUGUUUUGUACGAUCCGUGUUUCCCAACUGCAUAUAAUCUGUGACUCUCUAUGACUGCAAUAGGACAUUCAUUUUUAUUUACGAAAUCUUGCUGUUUUAUUACCCCAACUUCAACAUUAAAAAAUGAAUUAGCUAUAA